rnacentral:tRNA from 2 species
UGUCCGAUGGUGUAAUGGCAACACUGCAGAUUUUGAUUCUGCCUUUCCAGGUUCGAAUCCUGGUCGGACAA